rnacentral:lncRNA from 1 species
UCUUGUGCUGUAAGGGUGUCUCGCAGACUGAUUUUCUUGAUUUGAUGUAUUGCCAUUGCAUAUAUCAUUAUCUCCAAGUCUGGUUAGUGUUUGAUUUUGCACAGAUUUGUUUGGGAUCUGCUUUGAAGCAAGCAUCGUUCCUUGCGGUCACAGGUAAAUUUGCACAGUCCUGUCUAUUAAUAGUUUUCUAGUCCAGAACAUUUGGAGCAUAGUGACAAGUUUCAAUUUUAAGGAUUUAUGAUACCCCAUUUUCACUGGUUUUUCCCCAAUAUGUCAAUGUGUGAUGUGUCUAAACCCCAUUAUUUCCCUUUGUUAGUCAUUAUUCAGCAUGGAGCAGAAUCGCUGCACACUUAUCAAUGUAUCAUUCAUAUAAAACUUGAUAUAUUGCAGAGUUGUGCUUCCAUCAUUUCCUAAGAUAUACUGAAAUUUAAAGUUCAGCUUCUAUUUAUCGAGCUGGUUUCUUUUCACAGCCGACAGCUGAAGCUAAAUAAAAUGUCCUUAAUAUGCUUUAAUUCCUAUAAUCAACGGCUACAGAUUUCUUCUAACACUGUAAUGCUAGGCUGGAGUUUGAGGUUUUCGCUACUGCUCUCAUCUUCGAUUCUAUCUCAAACUACUAAAAUUUAAAAAUAUGUUUCGUUUUCACCAGGAUUAGGUUCUUUUAUCCAUGUGGUGGUAUGAUUUAAAUGCGAGAACAGAGGCCAUGUAUUGCCAUGACGUACAUUGUAGUUUUGAGUUUUCAUCAAUGCUGUUGCUAUUUUUAUCUAUUUGUAGCGUCAUAUAAAUGAGUUUUGACAUGGUCAUUUUACAGAAUGAGUAAACCAUGGCUGGUCGGUAGAAGCUUCACUUGCGACUGUGCUGCUUGAUUCUCUUGUGCAAAUGGAUAAUUUAUUUAGAGAUAAAAAACAUGUAAAUAUAAGAGGUGGUGACCGAGUGAGUGCUUGUUUGGGUGGGGCUGGCCAAACAUGGUCAUCCUUUCUAAAGAAUCGCAAAUACAUAUAUCCCUCAUGUCAUGUAUGAUGAACACUCAACUCACUCUCGUGAUGAUGUAUGUGCCUUGCGCUUGGUAGUGUUGUCUUUACAAGAGGAUUGUGAUGCUUUUCUCUCUAAUUGCCAAUCUAGUCCUUGUGUUGCAGCUUUGAUAUUUAUUAUAGUUUUUAUUGGCUGCUAUAUGUAUAUCAGACAAAGGAAAGCAUUUUAGUAUUAUAUUUUUGUAUGUUUGAAGAAACUAGCCGAGCAAGUAUUUCCAAUUCUUAUUUGCUUCACCUUUGAUGCUUGAAACAUUAUUGUUUUCCUCUGUUUAUUUCGAAGUUUUAUUUGUAUUUAUGCAACUGAAUAUUUGACAUUGUUUCAUGUUAUCUUUAGUUAGCAUUCUGAACUAGUAAGUUCUGAACAUUCUGAUGCCUAUUUUUGAUGCAGAGUUGCAGCUGGUAUGAUCAUGCUUGGUCGUAUGUGAACAUGGAAGAAGAAGUGGGGCAUGCCGGGAGAGGUGCGUGAUGAUGCGGUUUCGCAUGCCUGGUCCGGCCCUGACGCCAUGGAAGGUGACCAUGACUUACAAAUCUAUGUUUCCAGAAUGGGAAGUUGCAGAAAGAGAGGAAAGGUGCGCCACUCGGAUGUGGCUCAUUAACGAUGUAGGAUUGAAUAUGGUUAAGGGUAGGAUUGGCUUUUGGUGGUAUGCUUGAUAAUUUCCCCGUGUAGUUGGCAUGCGUAAGCGGGUGAAUGGAUUAUCUUGUAAUGAACUUCUAGUUUCUUGCAGCAGCAACAACUAUGUCCUCAUUUGUAGAAUUUGCUUGAGAAAUGCAUAGUUUAAUUAGUUUGCUAUUUUAAAAACUCUGCAGUUUGCUCUCCCAACUUUUAUGUAGUUUCUAGAUUCAUCUCCCAUAAGGGGUACCAUUGCUUAGUUUCGGCAUGGUGGCUCGCUCAUCUCAUUUAAUCUUGUGAAUUCAAUUAUUG